GGGGUUGACCGGUUUUGACAGCGUGAAGAAUGGGUAAGUAAGCAUGCAGAGCCAUGAUGGAUGGUGCUCUUAAAUCUCCGACAUCAACUUUUCUAAAUGGCGAAAACAACUACGCUCUUGCUGCCUAAUCGAAGUACAGUAGAUUACGCUUAAUCGCCGCAACAGUUGCAGCGACAAGACAUCGCCCGAUUGUCGUUUUUCCGAGACUAAUCGACCAGGCGGUGCAGGUAAAUCGGGAAUAGGACGCGGGAAGCCUCGCGAUGCGUCCGAAAUCUUAGAGGAUAAGCCGGCGAUUGGGUGUCGUUUCCCUGCCGCCGGACCAAAACCAACAACCGACUAAGCAUGUAGAAAGCUUAUUGAUUCCACGACUGGACGAGGGUUCGAGUCCCUCCAGCUCCACAA
rnacentral:tmRNA from 1 species